AAGGAGUUUAUAAAUAGCAUCUGGAAGAAGACACUCAAGAAGUUCACCCAUGACUUCAAAGGAUUUGCCAAAGUUGCAAAAAUCAACAAGGCUGUGGUUGAGACGGCAGACAACUUAGACCUGCCUGUGGAUGAGGAGACAUUGAGGAGCUCCUAGAGGUGGUUCCUGAGGAAUUGACUAGUGAGGCGUUGUUGGAACUGGAAUAGGAAUGCAUAGCUAAAGAAGAGAAAAGAGAAAAGGAAACUGCAGGGGAAGAUAAAGAAGAAGAACCCCCAAGAACAUUCACAGUGAAGGGUUUAGCAGAAGCUUUUGCACACCUCAACAAGCUUCUUGAAAAGUUCGAAAAUGUGGACCUCAACACCAAAAGGUUUUCAUUAACAGAGAGGACUGUUCAUGGUGUGUUUCUGCUUACAAGUAAAUCUAUGAUGAAAAAAAAAACAAGCCAAGCAAAACAUCAUGGACAUAUCCCUGAAAAGAGUGACACCUCCUCACAGAGAGCGUCAGGCAGGUCCUUCAGGAGAUAUUCCAGAAGAAGGCGUUGUUAUCACAGGAGAUGACAGCUCCAUGCAUGUUUUUGUCCCUGAAGACCUUCCAGUGGGACAAGGUGCAGAGGCCUUCACGUCCACUCACCACUCGCUGACUCACCCAGAGCAACUUUCCAUCCUGCAAGCUCCAUUCGUGCAAUAAUGCUGAGAAGUGGAAUGGCUGCCAUCGCACCUCGAGACAAGUGCUGCUCAGCGCUUGAUUAGAUGGAGCCGGGGCUGCUGCUCACCUCCAUCUCAGGCUCUCAUCUACCGAAGGGGUUUUGACAGUUCCGGAGAAACAACACUUCUGAAAUAAUCCUUUUGCUCAGACUACUUAGCCCCACAUUCAAAAUGCUACGACUGGUUUACCUACCGAUGAGGUUGGAUCGUUCUUGGAACUUUGUUGGGAGAAGACAGGCUUGAAUAAACUAAGUUCAGUUUAAGUAGAAAACUUGCAAAAGUGAUGGAAUUGUCCUUCUGUGGAUAUGCACCUGUCUGUCUUGUUUGCUGUUGUACCCACAGCCGCUCACACAGCAUCUGGCACUUGGGCAGUUUUCAACUCCUUUGUCUUCCGCUGAGAAAUGUGGAAAAUUGUGGUAAGCAGCCAAAUGGAGCCCUGGACUCUGACACCUCCAUACCUCUAACAGCAACGUGGAGAAAAGGAUGGCUAAUCUUCAGGAACAGAUCAUUGUCAGUCAAACAAACAAACAAACUCUGGAUUGGGCUUUGUGAUAG
rnacentral:lncRNA from 1 species